AGUCGUAACAAGGUAUCCGUAGGUGAACCUGCGGAUGGAUCAUUAACAAAGGUGUUUUUGAAGUUGUGUGAACAGUUGGAGGAGGUGGUGGUGGUGGUGGUACUGGGUGGUAUUGGGUGGUAUUGGGUGGUAUUGAGUGGUGUAACCUUGGUCUAACCUUGGUCAACCUCACUCAACCUCACUCAACCUCACUCUCCCAACCUCACUCUCCCAACCUCCACCACUCCGUCCCUAUAAUGUAAUGUAUACAAACUGAUGUCUGCUAGUUUCAAACUAAAACAACUUUUAGCAACGGAUCUCUUGGCUCUC
rnacentral:misc_RNA from 1 species